UACGAAGGGGGCUAGCGUUGCUCGGAAUCACUGGGCGUAAAGGGUGCGUAGGCGGGUCUUUAAGUCAGGGGUGAAAUCCUGGAGCUCAACUCCAGAACUGCCUUUGAUACUGGCGAUCUUUGAGUCCGGGAGAGGUGAGUGGAACUCCGAGUGUAGAGGUGAAAUUCGUAGAUAUUCGGAAGAACACCAGUGGCGAAGGCGGCUCACUGGCCCGGUACUGACGCUCAUGUGCGAAAGCGUGGGGAGCAAACAGG
rnacentral:rRNA from 1 species